rnacentral:lncRNA from 1 species
UGACAAUAUUUGUGCUUUCCCGGUGAUGUGUGAAUCAUGAGUUUAAACAGCAGUUCCCAUGGAAGAGAUCACAGGAAGAAACUAAACCAGAGCAUGCCUCAGCCCAGUGAUGACAUCAGAGAAGCCUCAGGCACAUCAUCCAAUCUCUGAGUACUGCUUUUCUACUAUGGGGAGAGAAAAUGAAGACAUGUGAGUUCCCUCAAAGGGCUAACAGCAGUCUCUGAGAAGACGAAUUGAAGAAACAUUUUCUUUACCAGCUCAGGCAGGUGACAGAUGCAAUUGAAUUCACUUGUUUAGGUUUCUGCCUCCUCCACCUUUCAUCCGCUGGCAACACGAGUGUGUCUCAGCUCUCACAGGGCCACACUCAGUUCAGUCUGCAGGCCACAGUUCAGUCUGCAGGCCAUGUUGGGAUCUGCUUCUCCAGGGAUCGGCCAGAGACCUCUGAGGCUCUCAGUCCUUUCUUCUACAGCUACUGUCUUCCCCGGACUCCUGAGAAAUUCCUCCAGACCUUGUACUCUCCCACACUACUUGUCAACUCCCCCCUCCACCUCUUGGAACCCCAAUCACCAAAGUUUAAC